UGUCAGGGGCGGCGCUUCCAUGUUGCGCUGUGGAAAAUCGUUAGGGGAUACACUGUGACAAACAUGCGCUCUGAGAUUGAUAAUAACCAGAAUAAGGCCGAAAAGGGAACCGGACAGAGUCAAUAUUUAGCGAGGGCCGGACCUGGGUGGCGCCGGCUGGGGUGACGUACACACUUUUUCAGCAGAGAUGGAGAAAAGGCUCGGGUUAAACACUCAACCCCAUUUGGAAAAAGAGCGAGGCUGGAUGCCUGAGUGGUCCAGGAGAGGACAAAGUAUCCCAUCGUGGCCAACAUGGAAACCUGCAGGAAUGCUGCUGAGAUCUAUUUUUCUACACUGUGAUUCAUUGACAGUUUUUGUCAGGCUUGAUGUGUGUUUCCGUCUUGCUACUACGCCCUUCCAUCCUGAGAACUUGACCAUCUGAUUCACCAACAAGCUGCUAAACUACUGAGUCUGUGUCUGUUUCCUUUUUAGGUCUUAGAAACAGCAUCAGCUCACAGAGACACCUGGUCUGAUUUACCUAUCCUUAAACAGAGAUCUCUACAUUGCAUGUAAUACACUACAUCCUAUUUUCGUCUGGUAUUCAGUUUUUCAUUAUUAGACAUUCUUUUACAAACUGCAGAUCUAAACUUAACUUUGAAGACUACCUGAAACAACGGUCUGUUUGUCAUAGUUAACUGAUAGAAAAGAAGUAGAUCAGCAUCCUCUGGAGAUAAAAUAGUUUGCUACUGUAAUGCAGUGAGAGCAAAAAACAAAUAGUGCCCUAUUUGAUAAAUGUAAGAACAGUAUGAAGAAAAAAAAGAAGAUAAAAGACUCAAUAAUUGUAAAGCAGAUGGCAGGUGAUGUUCACUAAACUGUUCUGUUAAUGUAAAAGUAAAGUUGAUUUCUAGCUCCAUCCUAACAACUUCUACAUUUUGCAGAUGAAUUAUAAAACAUGUCACCACAAAACAACAACGGAUGUCAUCAAUUUCCCUCCCUGCCCCCCAGAUGUGCCUGAAGCUAUGGCCUUAAAGUCCUCCUCCCCAGGGAACUGGUUUCAGAUGGUGUUUUAGAGUCUAAAAUCCCAUCUAGCACCAUUUGAAAUCGGUGUUCUUGAGCAGGAACAGACUUCACAAUUGCACCCAGUUUUGGAUCGCUUUUUAGUGUGUGAUGAUUAUACAAAACAAUUUAAUAUAAGUCAAGGGAUGGGGUGAUAUUGGUGCGUUGUAUGUCUUUCUAAAUCCUAAGCAUCAGCUAUUAGAAAGACAGCAGCAUAGGAAUCCAUUAUUCUGACCCUCUAAUCAAGGCUGACCGUUUUCCUUUGGUGUUCAGAGUUUCCAUCAUGUCUAGCACCAUUUGAAAUCGGUUACAAUGUGGAGGGAAAAUCAACAUUUUGUUUCAGGUUUAUAGUGAAAAUCCUCAAAAUGCCACAAGAUAGCAGCAUUGCACUAUAUUGUUUUCAGUCAACUUAGCCACAGAGUUGGAAGACUCCUUAAAGGUGGAAAGAAGAUCAUGUGCAGGUGCAAAUCUGAAACGUUUUGAGGGGAAAAAUGUAUUAUUACUACUAUUAUAUUAUUAAAAUACUCUGCCAAGGAUUAUUAUUUGGAAACAGUUCAGUUUAUUCUCACCACAUCACAGUCACUCAGGUAUGGGUAACAGUUUCUGUUGUGAGUCCCUUUUCAAAAUGUUUAAUUAAAUUGUGAUUUUUUGGUUAAGUGCUUUAGUAGUCUGGUGGUUGUGCUAUCGGACCUAUGCAGCAUUUUUCAAUGUAUUGAAAUUGAUUUCACUUCGUAUGUUGCCAUUUUUAUUCAUUAUUAUGAAUGUGACAUCAUGUUGAUUCUAAAACUCAUAUGUUAUUGA